CAGGUCACUCCUACGGGAGGCAGCAGUGGGGAAUUUUGGACAAUGGGGGCAACCCUGAUCCAGCAAUGCCGCGUGUGUGAAGAAGGCCUUCGGGUUGUAAAGCACUUUUGUCCGGAAAGAAAACCGCUUCUCUAAUACAGGGGCGGGAUGACGGUACCGGAAGAAUAAGCACCGGCUAACUACGUGCCAGCAGCCGCGGUAAUACGUAGGGUGCAAGCGUUAAUCGGAAUUACUGGGCGUAAAGCGUGCGCAGGCGGUUCGCUAAGACCGAUGUGAAAUCCCCGGGCUUAACCUGGGAACUGCAUUGGUGACUGGCGGGCUAGAGUAUGGCAGAGGGGGGUAGAAUUCCACGUGUAGCAGUGAAAUGCGUAGAGAUGUGGAGGAAUACCGAUGGCGAAGGCAGCCCCCUGGGCCAAUACUGACGCUCAUGCACGAAAGCGUGGGGAGCAAACAGGAUUAGAUACCCUGGUAGUCCACGCCGUAAACGAUGGAUGCUAGCCGUUGGCGAGCUUGCUCGUCAGUGGCGCAGCUAACGCUUUAAGCAUCCCGCCUGGGGAGUACGGUCGCAAGAUUAAAACUUAAAGGAAUUGACG
rnacentral:rRNA from 1 species